UAAGCCAAGGCUAAUCAAGGCAACCCAUUAACUCAAAAUUGCAAAAUUUUUUCACAUUCCUGCUUCUGACAUAAGGAGACGAUAAAAUAAAUUUCAAUUUACCUAAACAUGUCCAUUGUUAACUCGGAGAACUUCGCCUGUUCGCACGCCGAACCUACAAUGAGUAUCUCCUGCAGGCUCAACGUCAUGUGGGGCGAUCGUUCACACGGUGGCGUCGUUAGCGGCGACAACCUAGAACCGGAACCACUGAAUAUCAGUUGGUGAAGUCAAGCUAUUCUAAAGAGACGACAGUGUGGGCCCGUGCUUUCACAGAAGAAUUGAGAAUGUGAUGCUAUAAAUGGUGUGUGAUGGGGUGAUGGUGAGUGUGGAGGAUGUGGUGAACGUACUGCAAUGUGCGGCACGCAGUGAAUAUGAAUAUAGUGGUGAAGGGAUUGCUGGAGUGUGAUAUAGAGGUGGUGGCUUGACUGAUCAACUGACUGACAUGUGUGUGCAAGUGACGCGUUGAUCGAAAGCACGGGCGACGGUGACGGCGUUUUCACGGCGUCCGUGUACAAUUUUGCAUUUUGUCUCACCUGUGUGAAAGUAUGAUGGGAUUGGAAUCCGCAUGAAGAACAGCCACGGCAGCUUCAGCUUUUAUAAAACCUUUUAUCUCUUCUAAAACUAGUGACCAUUCUAAAUGAUCUUCUGCUCCGUCACUAACUCACGAACCAGCUUCAUUUUCUUCAACAGCAAACAAACAACAAUAAAUCGCGCAUAAUACCGCAACUUCUUCACCAUUAAAUCGGGCCGAUCCUCUUUGAUCGCACGCGAAUAAUAUGCUCUACCCCUAAUAGCUGCAUAAAAUUGAUAAGCUUCAUUCAGGUAGUUCGUUUCGCUGGUUCUUAAACUGUAAACGAAAUAAUCCAAAGAAUAGGACACAUUAAACAGUUAUUCACAAAGAAGCAAGAAUAUAAAAAUAGGUGAAGUAAUGCCUAAACUCAUGGGAAUCAAACUUUUUGUAACCAGUUACGGGAAGGU